GCAUCGGUGGUUUAGUGGUAGAAUGCUCGCCUGCCACGCGGGCGCCCUGGGAUUCCCCGCCAAUGCA